UACGUAGGGAGCAAGCGUUGUCCGGAAUCAUUGGGCGUAAAGCGCGCGUAGGUGGCCUCAUAAGUCCGCUGUGAAAGUCAAAGGCUCAACCUUUGAAAGCCGGUGGAUACUGUGAGGCUAGAGUACGGAAGAGGCGAGUGGAAUUCCUGGUGUAGCGGUGGAAUGCGCAGAUAUCAGGAGGAACACCAAUGGCGAAGGCAGCUCUCUGGGACGGUACUGACGCUGAGACGCGAAAGCGUGGGGAGCAAACAGG
rnacentral:rRNA from 1 species